GAUGAACGCUGGCGGCGUGCCUAAUACAUGCAAGUCGAACGAGGUGCUUGAGUAGCAAUACGAGAGUAUCCUAGUGGCGAACGGGUGAGUAACGCGUUGGUGACCUACCCCAAAGUGUGGGAUAACAGUCCGAAAGGAUUGCUAAUACCGCAUGUGGUCUUCGGAUUUAGAAACUGAUGACUAAAGCAGCAAUGCGCUUUGGGAGGGACCUGCGUCCCAUCAGCUAGUUGGCGAGGUAACGGCUCACCAAGGCGACGACGGGUAGGGGACCUGAGAGGGUGGCCCCCCACAAUGGAACUGAAACACGGUCCAUACACCUACGGGUGGCAGCAGUAGGGAAUAUUGCUCAAUGGGCGAAAGCCUGAAGCAGCAACGCCGCGUGUGCGAUGAAGGCCCUUGGUCGUAAAGCGCGUUUUCUGUAGAGAUGAGAAAGGACAGUAUCUCAGGAAUAAGUCU
rnacentral:rRNA from 1 species